GGUGGGGGGAGGUGGAAAGUUUUAAAGCUUCUCCCAGCCUCUUGGUUUCUCAUCUGGAGAGUACCAUUUUUAGAUUGCUUUAUCAGGCUGUUUAUAUUUUGCCAUUUGAGAGAAUGAUCAGCUACUGCCAUUACCAUGCAUGUGUAAAUUGUUAAUUUUCUAUUUUGGAUGUUCCUAAAUCGUAAAUGAAAUCAUUGGUAAACGGCCCCCCACUCCCGUCUCUGUGGGCCCUUUGUAAUUAAUCUUAUCUUGCCCUUAAAAAUGAGCUAACCAUCACUCAAAAAAUGUAGUAAGACAAGAGAUGGGUCAGAUUCAGAUUCGUGUGUGUCCAACUUGAACCAGCUAACUUGAUGGCCCAAGUAGCACCUAGGAGAUCUCCAGUGGCAAAAAUGAAAUGCAAAGUCAUGUGAUGGAUAAUGUGUGGAGGUGACUAUCGAAAUAUUGACUGUUAGGGGAUGUAUAAUAAGCUUAGGGGUAAAUGUAGACUCAAAGUAAAUUGUAUUCUUCAAAAGAGAUGUGAUAAUCUAGGAACAAAAAGUAUGUUCAGAGAAUAAAACAAAAUUAUUAUCCUUAUACCGGUAAAAUCAAGCCUAAAGCUCUUUCGGGUGGCAGUAGAGAGAAGCAGCAGAUGAGAGAUUUGGAAGAGGUGGCCUUCGAUGGAAGAGGCUGCUGUCACUGGGAAUGAGUGUAAGCUCUCUAGUCUUACUAUAAAGCAGUUAACAGUCCAGGCUUUUAAAAAUGUGUGUAAUUUUGAUUAAAAAUAAUUACCAAUUUAAAACAGUGCCUUUUGACUUCUUGUGGCACAUGACAAUGCUUGGUGAGCUUCCUCCCUUCAUGCUUUCUGGUGCCAUGCUAAAGGCUGGUGAUACCUCUCCUGGCGUGCAGAUUAGGAAUGCAACAGCAGGCUCGGUGGCAGACAGGAAUAUCACCCAUGAAAUUUGAGGAAAAUGCAAAUAGUGAGCUUCACCGUGUUCCAGUAAGACCCAUAGCUCUUACUACUAUGAACUGCCACAGCAUCCCUCAAACCAUGCUCCAACUACUUUGCAGACUCUGCGGCAUCCUCGCCUGAUUGGCCUUUACUUCCGGUGCUGCUCGUGCGGAUCACGAGAAGUUCUGAAGAGAGAACCUACAUAAAGAGUUCAUAAUGCCUGUGCAUAGUGGCACACAUCUAUAAUCACAACCCUUGGGAAGCCGGAGCAGGAGGAUUUCCGUGAGCUGAAGCUAAUCUGAGCUAUGGAGUGAGACUUUCUUUAAAAGACACAUGUCAUGUGAUCCCACUUUAGACAGGAAUUGGAAGGGUAGAUGAACGGGAAGUGUUGGGUUGAGAAGACUCGGUUAUCCUGUGUGUGCGAUCAUGACAAGACUCUUAUCCCUUUAUUUACUGUUGGGGAUUUUAAUAACUAGUUUAUGCACAUGAUGUCCGCAUUCAUCCUGAUGGAUCUGUGUUGUGUGCCCAUCUCCCCUCCUUUCAACUUUACAUGAAUUCUCUUUCUCCCUUUAGCCUCCAUGCAUGUCUUAUUUGUCAAGUCUCUUUAAGAAGACUUGAAUAUGCCCAGGAACCCUAGAGAAGCUGUGGCUGGUUAUGUAGUCAACCAAUACAUAGCGGCAGAUAAAGAUCCAGGGAAAUGAGAAAUGCAGAAGUGAGGGAAAACAGAUAAGAACAGCAGAGUUGCCCCUUGUUCAUGUUUGUAUCAAUGGAAACAAAUGGGCCAUGUCCUACAUGUAAGAGUAUAAAUGGCAGAACCAAAAGACACAGGGCAGAUUACCUUCUUCCUACUAUCCCCCCACACCCCAAAAGCUUGCUUAUAUAGGAAACAGAGGUAAUCAGGAUGCUACCAGAGUGUUCACUUCGAUGACCGUAAGUCAAUGGACAGUAAAACAGAAUACCACGUCAGAAUAUCAAUCUGUGCCAUUGAGUCUGAACUUAGCAAAUACUGAUUAAUUGGUCUCUACACUGAAGCCCCGCAGAUUCUGAAAGGCUGAACUAUUCACUCUCGGCGUCAUCAGAUGCGAGUUCAGCUUCCACUUCUUGCAUUACCCAAAGCAUGUCACCAUUUCACCAUCCCUGCAUCUCUACAAAGAAAAAACCCCAGCAAACCAGAGAUGCCUGAGGUUCUUACAGUCUAUGGGCAUUCGCAAAUGUACCUUGAAAAAAAGGCUUGGGUGAUUUGGGACGAGGUUGCCAAUUUCAAUUUAAAGGAAAGAUUAAAAUCGUACAGAUACUGAAAGCUGACACACAGUAUUUUUGACUAACACAGCCAGUAAACACAAAGCCAGUAAGCUCCUCAGUGAGCAAGUGCUUUCUGUCUGAGACAGUUAUCAAGUGUGCUGUUCUGUUGAUAGAAGGAGAGGGUGAUGCUCAAGAGGCAAAGCAGAGAGAACAUGACUUAUCUGCAUCCUAAUUACCCCGAGGAAAUACCUUAUCUGCACACUACUGUUUUCCACCUGUUGACAGUUUUACCGAAUUUUAAUCGAUAUGCGGGGAACUUCAGGCUUUAAAGUAGAUAAUUUUACGUCAUGAUCUAUGCUGUCUGGAUGCGUAUGUUCUAUGUGACCAUGAAUCUAUUACACAGUUAAGAUAAUGACUCUGCACAGUACUCCCCUAAGUUAAACUGUGGGUCUUGGUCAUCACCCCCUUCCUCCCUGCCUCCCCUGUUGCUAGUGGUUACCAGGCAACCGGUGAUUUGCUCUUUGUCACUGUGCGCUCAUUUACAUUUCCUAGGCUUGUAUGCAAAUAGGAUUAUAAGGCUGCAUCUCCUUUUGCCAUUUGUUUAAACCGAUCAACUAUUCUCAGAGUCCUUCGGGAAGCGCAUGCAUGCAUCAAGUUCAUUCCUUUUAUUACUAACUAGUAUUCCAUCGAAUGGGGCCUGGCACGGUUUGCUUAGUGAUUCAUGAACAUGAGGGUGGACUCUGUUUUGAGGCUGUGGCAAGACUACCUUUGAUGAAUCUUUCUGGGUAAGCCUUUCUAUGAGCAUACACACGCAUAUUUCUCAUGAAUAAAUGCCAAGAGGUAGAAAGGCUAGAUCACAUCCAAACUGUGUUCCUUAUAGACUGCUUCUUUUAGAUAACACUAGCAACACAAGUUUUCUUUGAUAUUAUAAUUUA
rnacentral:lncRNA from 1 species